rnacentral:RNase_P_RNA from 2 species
AAGAGUAAGAGCGGUAGUUGCAAAUUAAAUUGAUCACAAAAAGAUUUAGUUUGAGGAAAGUCCGGGCUCCCAAAAGAUCAAACUUGCUGGGUAACCCCCAGUGCGCGUGAGCGUGAGGAUAGUGCCACAGAAAAAUACCGCCCGUUUUCGGGUAAGGGUGCAAAGGUGUCGGUAAGAGCGCACCAGCAAUAUCGAGAGGUAUUGGCUCGGUAAACCCCGGUGGGGAGCAAGGUCGGAGGAAUUACGGUUGAUCUUUUUCCGAUUUCGUAUUUGGUGUACCGCUUGAGGUAAUUAGUAAUAAUUAUCCUAGAUAGAUAACUACCCUUUUAACAUAGUUGAAAGAACAGAACCCGGCUUACUCCUUACUCUUUUUU